rnacentral:lncRNA from 1 species
UGAAUAGGGAAUACUUGUGAAAAGUGUAGAAAAGUCAAAUGUUUUAAUACUAUUGCAAGAUGACAGAGUCUCAGAUUGUAUGUACUCUAAAAGAUCUUUGAUUUUUUUAGUGUCCACAUCGGAUUCACGCCACCUGUAGAAUAGGCAGUUUCACAAUAACUUUGCCCGACUUUGAUUGCUAAUAACAUAGAAGCUUAUAAUUUAU